AUUGAACGCUGGCGGCAUGCCUUACACAUGCAAGUCGAACGGCAGCAUGGAGAGCUUGCUCUCUGAUGGCGAGUGGCGAACGGGUGAGUAAUGGAUCGGAACGUACCGUGUAAUGGGGGAUAACGUAGCGAAAGUUACGCUAAUACCGCAUACGACCUGAGGGUGAAAGCAGGGGAUCGCAAGACCUUGCGUUAUACGAGCGGCCGAUGGCAGAUUAGCUAGUUGGUGAGGUAAAGGCUCACCAAGGCGACGAUCUGUAGCGGGUCGGAGAGGAUGGUCCGCAACACUGGGACUGAGACACGGACCAGACUCCUACGGGAGGCAGCAGUGGGGAAUUUUGGGCAAUGGGGGCAACCCUGAUCCAGCCAUGCCGCGUGAGUGAAGAAGGCCUUCGGGUUGUAAAGCUCUUUCGGCCGGGAAGAAAUCGCACAGGCUAAUACUCUGUGUGGAUGACGGUACCGGCAUAAGAAGCACCGGCUAACUACGUGCCAGCCGCCGCAGUAA
rnacentral:rRNA from 1 species